AAGUGCGUGAAGUUAUUCCUCGCGGAAAUAAUUGUACGUACAAAUUUGUUUGGAGAAUUUUGUGAAUAAACGAGAGACUUUGGGGCGCUACUGGUGUUCGGUUGUUUAAAUUCUAUUACAAGCUAUUUCGGCCUUAUCUCGGUCUAGUUACGGUAUUGUAUAAAUAAGGAAAAAUUCGACAGGGAAGAAAAAGGAAGUUAAAAUGGCGAAGAGGCGAGGCACGACAACGAACCAACGAUCGAUUCGAUUUUGUCCAGUUUGGAUACCGGUGCUGGAGUCCGGUGAUGGUAACCGGCGACGGAGCCCGGUGAUGGAGCCCGGUGAUGGAGCCCGGUGGUGGAGCCCGGUGCUGGAGACCGGUAAUGAAGACCGGUGCUGGAGCCCGGCGAUGGUGCCCGGUGAUGGUGCCCGGGUGGUGAGCGGCGAGUGCUCCGGUUUGUUGACCGAUUAAGGUGCACGGUUUGGUUACCGAUUAUGGUGCCCGGUUUUGUGACCGACCAGAGGUGAAAAAAUGUGUCAACUCUCCAACCGGUGUUGGAGACAGAAUCAAUCCAAUAAAGGAAGGUCGUCGGAGACACAA